GACGAACGCUGGCGGCGUGCUUAACACAUGCAAGUCGAACGGUAAGGCCCUUCGGGGUACGCGAGUGGCGAACGGGUGAGUAACACGUGGGUGAUCUGCCCUGCACUUCGGGAUAAGCCUGGGAAACUGGGUCUAAUACCGGAUAGGACCACUGCCUGCAUGGGUGGUGGUGGAAAGCUGUUGCGGUGUGGGAUGGGCCCGCGGCCUAUCCUCUUGUUGGUGGGGUGAUGGCCUACCAAGGCGACGACGGGUAGCCGGCCUGAGGGGGUGAACGGGCACGCUGGGACUGAGGUACGGCCCAGACACCUACGGGAGGCAGCAGUGGGGAAUAUUACACAGUGGGCGCAAGCCUGAUGAAGCGACGCCGCGUGAGGGAUGACGGCCUGCGGGUUGUAAACCUCUUUCAGCACCGACGAAGCGAAAGUGACGGUAGGUGCAGAAGAAGGACCGGCCAACUACGUGCCAGCCGCCGCCGUAA
rnacentral:rRNA from 1 species